GACGAACGCUGGCGGCGUGCUUAACACAUGCAAGUCGAACGGUGAAAGGGAGCUUGCUCCCUGGAUCGGUGGCGAACGGGUGAGUAACACGUGGGCAAACUGCCCCAGACUUCGGGAUAACGCUUCGAAAGAGGUGCUAAUACCGGAUACGAACGACUUGGGCAUCCUUGGAGCGGGCAAGUUUUUCGGUCUGGGAUGGGCCCGCGGCCUAUCGGCUUGUUGGUGAGGUAACGGCUCACCAAGGCGACGACGGGUAGCCGGCCUGAGAGGGCGACCGGCCACACUGGGACUGAGACACGGCCCAGACUCCUACGGGAGGCAGCAGUGGGGAAUAUUGCGCAAUGGGCGAAAGCCUGACGCAGCAACGCCGCGUGAGGGAUGGCGGCCUUCGGGUUGUAAACCUCUUUCAGCAGGGAUGAAGCGAAAGUGACGGUACCUGCAGAAGAAGCACCGGCUAACUACGUGCCAGCAGCCGCAGUAA
rnacentral:rRNA from 1 species